AUUGAACGCUGGCGGCAUGCCUUACACAUGCAAGUCGAACGGCAGCGGGGACUUCGGUCCGCCGGCGAGUGGCGAACGGGUGAGUAAUGUAUCGGAACGUACCAUUCAGUGGGGGAUAACUAUCCGAAAGGAUAGCUAAUACCGCAUAUUCUGUGAGCAGGAAAGCAGGGGAUCGCAAGACCUUGCGCUGAUUGAGCGGCCGAUAUCAGAUUAGCUAGUUGGUGAGGUAAAGGCUCACCAAGGCGACGAUCUGUAGCGGGUCUGAGAGGAUGCUCCGCCACACUGGAACUGAGACACGGUCCAGACUCCUGCGGGAGGCAGCAGUGGGGAAUUUUGGACAAUGGGGGCAACCCUGAUCCAGCCAUGCCGCGUGAGUGAAGAAGGCCUUCGGGUUGUAAAGCUCUUUCGGCCGGGAAGAAAUCGUAUCAGCUAAUACCUGGUGCGGAUGACGGUACCGGCAUAAGAAGCACCGGCUAACUACGUGCCAGCCGCCGCCGUAACAC
rnacentral:rRNA from 1 species